AACAUUAAGAAUACAAAGACAGGAACAGGUUUGGCGUCUGGCAAACGCUAAGUCUUGUAACCAAACACUCUCCUCUUGCAAAGAAGAAGGCAUUCACUUUCUGUAGCACCAAAGCAACGCGAAUCUCAACUCUAUAAAGAACUGCCUUUGCCCGUAUCGAUGGUAUGUUAUAUGUUUUUUCCUUUACUUUCUCUGAGAUUAGGAUUUUGCUAUUGGUUUAUUUUGCCAAUUUUGAGCUUUCCAUGAUUUGAUUUCUGAGAAUUUUGGGCUUUACCUGAUCCGAUUGCUUCUGUUCUAUACAUCAGUGACUCCAUAUGGUAUGAUUGUGAAGGCUUUUGAUUUUGAGUGAUUUCUUAAGGAAGCUAUAUUUGUUUGUUUUUGUGUCAUUAAGUGUCAUUUGUACCCAUUAUUAAGCAUUAGAAAUCUGAAUAUGAUUUUACAAAAUUUUUUUCAAAUGAGCAACAACAGCUAAUUUAGAUGUAUUUGUGAAAUUGAGCUUAGGGAGAACACCAGUGUGAACUUUGAAGAUUGUGUUUUUAGAAUUCACUGUGAAGAUUGUGUGUUUAGAACAUUCAUUGUGGGUACUAUUAGGUUUAUGUGUUUGGAUGGAGGUAUUGUUUGUAGACAGUUGCAGGAAGCCAACUUUCUACUUUUAUCAAUUACUUGAAACUGAUGUGCCCAUUUAAGUUCUCUGUUCUUUUAGAAGCUUCUUUAAAUCUGUCACUGAACUUUUAGAACAUUAAAUUACCAGAGCUAUGCAAAAUUCACUUCAAAGGUAUGUUCUCUACUUCCCUGUGGUGACAAUAGUCUAUUUCUUAUUUUGUUUUAAUAAAACUCUUUUAUCAAGUGUUUUUUUUCAUGACUUAGAGAUUGUGCGUGCAUCUGCAAGCAACCAUGCACUUAGGGCAUGGGCUAUAAGGGCACAUCUAUUGACUACGAAUUGGGACUGAUACUUGUGACUGAACAUUUUGUACCAUUGGAAUAGCUUUAAUUAUCACCAUUCUCUUUCUUUCAUUUAUUUGAGCUCUCUUCAUUUAUACUUUGGGAUACUCAGUUUUGAUGUCAUUUGGGUUAAGCUGCUUGGGACUCCUUAACAGUUUUUCUUCUUGUAUAUAAUGUUUAGGCUGAUCCUGAGUUAGAAGCAAUUCGCCAGAGAAGAAUGCAGGAGCUCAUGGCUCAACGUAGCAUGGGAAAUCAGCAAGGCUCUGAACAGCAAAAGGCUCAGGAGGACGCAAAGAGGUUCGUCAGUGAAAUUUAAUUGUGUUAUUCUGCCCUAUUUCUUUGCAUUAGAGCCCACCAUUUGGGUACCAUGUCUCUCUCUUUCUCAUUUCUGAAAAUGAAAAUGGAAACAUGUUCCUUUUUAUUCUGUCCAUAUUGUUGACUUCGAGAAGUUUCACUUUUUCAAAUGGUGUCUUAAAUGCAGUUUCUAAAAAUUAAUAAAACAAUGCUUUCAUGUUUCCAAAGUCUGCGUUGUUUUCAGAUGCAGUUUUCAGAUAGCAGAUUUUGAAGAAACUUAGACAAACAGAGUUUAUAAUCCAGAAAACAGUGCAAAGGAUCAAAUAGGCUAGUAAAUAUUACAUUGUGAUUAUGCUUUUCGAUAAAAUUUUCUUUCUGACCUUUCAUUUGAUAAUAGGGAGGCCGAGGAGCAAAGGCAAAUGAUGCUUAGUCAGAUUUUAUCUACAGAAGCCCGAGAAAGACUUGCCCGAAUUGCUUUAGUUAAACCUGAAAAAGCAAGGGGUGUUGAAGAUGUUAUACUGAGAGCUGCACAAAUGGGUCAAAUAGUUGAGAAGGUUUCUGAACAGAGGCUCAUUUCAUUACUGGAACAGAUUAACAAUCAAACAACUAAACAGACAAAAGUCACAAUCCAGAGGCGGAGGAGUGUUCUAGAGGACGAUGAUUAACUCAGAUAUGUAACUUCUGCUUUUACGAAGACGCAGUGCUGUUUUUGUUCCGUACUAUAUUUGUGGACAAAUACUUUGAGGGUCGUGAUAUAUAUAAUUGAAUUCCUGUGUGGCUUUGUAGUUCCAAAUUUUGUCCUCGUCCUAUCAAUCUAUAUCGAGUAGUUCUUUGGCUAAAGUAAUAAAUCUGAAUGGUAUUGAUAACCACCUAGUUUGGCAUUUGAAAUUGAAAGAUUGAAAAAAUACUUUGUGUUCAAUUCUACUCUUGAUGUGGGACUGGCGAUGAUGUGAUAGUAGAAUUGGUUUAGUAGAUAUUUUUUUUUUCUUGUAUGUUUGCUUUGGUUUAGCUUAGUUUCUUAGGUGAAACUGAACCCUUUUCUUUCCAGCCUCCAGUAAGUGAGAAAAAACAAUUACUCAAUUUAAAGGGUGAUAAAACCGCUAAGAUUUGGGAUUUGUUUGACGGAGUAGCCUUUCACAAAAGGUGGCUUUUGGGUAUCAACGCUAUUUGGUUCUUAGGGCAUCAUAUCCAUUCCACAAUGGUAUCCCAAUCUAUGAAUGUGAUGACUUGGAUUUAUCAUUUAUUCUGACUGAUUACGCUCGCUUAGCUCGAGGUCCAUUCAACUAGAGUAUAAGGAUUUUAUUUAUUUUAUUGCAAGUAUAUCCUUUAAAAAAAUUACUCUGUACUUGCUCCUCUUUAUCUCAAGCAUGACCAAAUUGCUGGACCAUCUGCGACAUUGACUUCAGUGAAGAAAAGGGUCAUGGGAUGACCGCGGCAAUUUCGCUAAUUUAUUGGGUGGUUAUAUUGAUUCCAGCUAGCAGGUUCCACGGAAGUUAAUUUCAUAUAUACAUUAAAAAUUGUCAUUUCACAGCCACAUGUUCGGUGCAAGUCCGACGGCGACGGUACCCUGGUCACUAGAAGGGGACCCAACUUAUCACCCGCGCGUGGAAAAACGUAUUCCUCUGAAUUUCAGCAGAGACGAGACGAAAAGUAUAGUCUUUGCGGAUAUCUGAACCUCAUUAAAUCAUCGUUUUUAAGCCUUCCAAUUCCAAACUCCUUGGAUGGCUCUGCAACAAAAAGGCCGAAUCAAACUCCCUCGUCUUUCCAUCUCUCCCUAGCAUAACACCACGCACAUGUGACACGCCCACUCUCCGUCUCUUUGUCUUUCUGUUUGUAUGUUUUCUCUUUUGAUCUCUCAACCUUUGUCGCCUCUGCAAUUCUCUGAUUCGUCAUUGUGUCAUUCAAUCCUACGCAGUUUUUAGUUUUCUUUCACCACCUCACUAUUCCUGUUCCUCCAAAACCGCCAAAGAUUUAUCCUUUUUGGUUUCCCAGAUGGAGAAAGAGCCCCUACUGUCAAAUUACAGCCCAAGAAGGAGAACGUCUCAACUGUCAUCGUUGCUCUCCACUCUCCCCGAGCAUGAUGAAGUCUCUCUACCUAUGCCGCUUACCCCUUCAGUUCUCAAAGAACGCCUUAUUUUUGGCCCUUCUGCAGCCUCUUCUAGUGACCCUUCUCCCAUUGUUGAGGCCUUGACUCUCUCUCUCAACUCUGCAAAGCAGUCGUGUUCCAAUCCAGAAUUCAACGCAAUCCCUCAAGAAUUACCGCUUCUACAGCAACAACAGUCUUGGUUGAUCGACCCCAAUUAUACAUGGACCAAGACUAAUCUCCACAGGUCCAAAACAGCACCGGCUAUGGCUGCCAUCAAUGAUACUCGUCAUCCUCCUAUACCCAAGCUUCAGUUUGCCACUCAAUCGAUAGUUCGCCAAGCUUUUGUUCUGUUGAUAUUAUAUUUGUCUUUGGGUGUGGUAAUAUAUUGGUUGAAUCGUGAUAAUUUCGUUGCGAAUGAAACACAUCCAGUUGUUGAUGCUUUGUAUUUUUGCAUAGUAACAAUGUGCACUAUCGGUUAUGGGGAUAUCACUCCAAAUAGUACUACCACGAAAUUGUUUUCUAUAUUGUUUGUCUUGGUUGGAUUUGGAUUUAUUGAUAUUUUGCUUUCUGGGAUGGUUAGUUAUGUGCUUGAUUUGCAAGAGAAUCAUUUAUUGAGGAAUGUUAAGCGAGUAGCUGAUAUGGAAGCUGCAGGUUCUGUCAUAAUUGAUGUGAAGAAAGGAAGAAUGAGGAUAAGGAUGAAGGUAGCGUUGGCAUUAUGUGUAGUGGUUCUGUGUAUUGGAAUUGGUGUUGGCGUCAUGCAUUUUGUCGAGAAGCUUGGAUGGUUGGAUUCUUUUUACCUCUCUGUUAUGUCAGUUACUAAUGUUGGUUAUGGUGACAGAGCAUUCAGGUCAUUGACAGGUCGUAUUUUUGCCUCCAUUUGGUUGCUUGUGUCAACGCUUGCCGUGGCUAGAGCGUUUUUAUAUUUGGCUGAGGCAAGAGUGGAUAAGCGUCAUAGGAGGAUGGCAAAGUGGGUCCUUGGCCAAAACAUGACCGUCUCUGAGUUUCUUGCUGCUGACAUUGACCAAAAUGGCUUUGUAAGUAAAUCAGAAUAUGUGAUAUACAAGCUCAAGGAGAUGGGAAAGGUUUCAGAGAAGGAUAUUCUGCAGAUAUGCCUGAAGUUUGAUAGGAUAGACACUGGCAACUGUGGGAAGAUAACUCUCGCCGAUCUUAUGGACAGUCAACAUUGAUAUACAAGUACCGUUAACAAGUUUUUAAUGGUAUUACUAGAAUAUGAUAAAAUGAUAUGUGAUGAUGAAUUAAGGUCUAGUUUGUGCUGUAAUUGCAUAGACGAUAGUCACUUCUGUGAAUUUGGGGCCUGAACAGCUAUCCUCAUCAUAUCCUGAUCCUUCAAUCAGAUUGCUAUUUUGUGAGUUGAAAUGGGAAUCAAAUUCUGAAGAUCGCAUGGGUUCUGUUGCCUGUCGAGUGGUAGAAGCCAGUCAGAUGUUAAAACCUGGUGCAUUUUUCAGCAACUUAGCCACUAGCCAUCAUUAUAACGAUCGCUUGAGGUAUUGGUUCGGAUGGGUGGGUUGUGGUGACUGGAGUAUAGGUGGAUGCAACUUUUCCUUGUCAUGGACCUAAUGGAUUAAUUUUUUUUUUGGCAGAUGCCAAGUGAUAUGGCGAAGUAAUUGUAUAAUAUUGCUUUUCAUGUUUUGCAUGUGAGGUUCUGUGGCUUUACAUAGUCUGAAUGCAAAUUGCUUGAAUGAAGGUGGAUGCUCUCUCUCUCUCGCAUUUGUCUAUAAUCAUCAAUAUCAGCAGUUCUUUUCUAUAAGCUCUUCUGCUGACUUUUUUGGUCGUGUGCAACCGUGCAUAUAAUCUGGGAAAGUGGGGUGAGGAGUGAUAAUGUCGGUAGGAACUACGAAGACCUUUUGGGAAAACUUAAACCUCAGGUGUUUACCUUGAGCUUACGACUUAUGACCAUAUAAAAGAGAACGGAAGGAGUCCUGUAAUCUUUUUGGUAUGUAAUAGAAGUGCAUUUCAGCCACCAACUACUAGACAUUUUGUAGGAACUGUCAUUUGGCAAUGGCGUGUGUCUCAUGUUUGGAUGCCGUGGGUAUAGAUCAAGCCAAUGGGAAAGGUUACUCAUGCAUCAUUGAGUAAUCUUUGGUAGGUGUAACUUAAAUAUCAAACUGCCCUCUAACAAGAGUCAAUAAAACUCUAGUUUUGGGAACUAUGAUGAAGUCAUGGUGGCAUGGGGUGUUUGAAUGCCUCCUGCAAAUCGAAAUAUUUCUGAAAAUAACAUACCCUUCUAAAUGUGAUGACCAUCUUUGUGUCUUCUCUUUAGUCAACGAAUCUAUCAUUUCAUAACCCAAGAAGGGAAGAUAAAGGUUUCAUCAAGGUUUUUGUAUGGUUUUUUUUGUUUGUUUGUGUUUUACGUUUCUCAAUUACAAUAUCCUAUGGUAUGUAUAUUUGUCUUGUUUUUAUUUGGUGGCUGCCAUUUUUUGAUUCAGUUGUCUCUUUGAUUUGAUCUUUGGCCGCUAAAUCUACACCAGGUUUACCAAAUGUAGCUACAAACCACUCGUUGAAUAAUCGAAGGACCUAGGCUUGAGUGGGGGGUGGGGAAGGAUCAUGAUUUAUGUGAUUAGAGUGCUGCAAUUGCAUACAAUUUAAUUAAAACCUUUUCUUUUCUAGAUUUAAUUUAAUUAAAACUGAUUAACUUAAUGAAUAAAUAAAAUAUGUAAAAUAAUAAGAAAUAAAGAAUAUUGCAUGAAUAAAAUUAUUUACGAUAUAAUGAAAAUUAUGAUACUAUGAACUGC
rnacentral:misc_RNA from 1 species